UACGUAGGCAGCAAGCGUUGUUCGGAAUUACUGGGCGUAAAGAGUGUGUAGGCGGUGCUCCAAGUCUGGUGUGAAAUCUCCCGGCUUAACUGGGAGGGUGCAUUAGAAACUGGAAUGCUAGAGGAUGGGAGGAGGUGAAUGCGGAAUUCCGUGGAUGUAGCGGUAGAAAUGAGCGGAUAGAUAUCGAGGAGGAACACCUU
rnacentral:rRNA from 1 species